UAAUUCGACGCAACGCGAAGAACCUUACCUGGGCUCGAAAUGUAGUGGACCGGAGUAGAAAUAUUCCUUCCCCGCAAGGGGCCGCUAUAUAGGUGCUGCAUGGCUGUCGUCAGCUCGUGUCGUGAGAUGUUGGGUUAAGUCCCGCAACGAGCGCAACCCUUAUCCCCAGUUGCCAUCAUUUAGUUGGGCACUCUGGUGAAACCGCCUCGGAUAACGGGGAGGAAGGUGGGGAUGACGUCAAGUCCUCAUGGCCUUUAUGUCCAGGGCUACACACGUGCUACAAUGACCGGUACAAACCGUCGCAAACCCGCGAGGGGGAGCUAAUCGGAAAAAGCCGGCCUCAGUUCGGAUUGCAGUCUGCAACUCGACUGCAUGAAGCUGGAAUCGCUAGUAAUCGCGGAUCAGAACGCCGCGGUGAAUACGUUCCCGGGCCUUGUACACACCGCCCGUCACAUCACGAAAGUGGGUUGCACUAGAAGUCGGUGCGCUAACCGCAAGGAUGCAGCCGCCCAAGGUGUAAUUCAUGAUUGGGGUGAAGU
rnacentral:rRNA from 1 species